CAGCGCUCUAGGGCGGCGUAAAUGCUUACGAGGCGGGCACAGCGUUAGUUUCCGACGGCGGGGCGGGCAGAGCGCCUGAGGGGCUGAGAAACCCUUUGGCACUCACCACCCCUCCCUCCUCCCUCGUCGACCUUUCCCCUACACCACCUGUAGCCCCCAUUCCAGGGAACGUUAACCCACCUUACAGCGCGUCCCACAAGCUUCUGUAAUGUCAAGUUUAAGCGGAUAAGCCCCGCAUAGAACAAUAAAUAGGUAAAGCAGCCUGGGCCCUGGAGAACUGUGUCUCCGCUUAAUCUGGAGAGUACAACACAAUCGGGGAUACAGCAAACGCGUGCACGUCUUCGGUGAAACGCGAGCUAAAGGAACGCAAGCCAAACUCAGGGCACAGACUGAGGUCAACACAACCAGAACACGGCAAAGAGCCCGGAGAUGGAGCUUCAGGAGAAGCCCUCUGCCUCUGGCUACAAGACUGGGAAAAGGAACCGAUGGCCUUUGAAAAUCUGCCCCCAGUACUCUGCAACUUUUCUCUCCCUUUCUCCAUUCUAUCCUGGCCUAGUCUCCGAUUAACCUAGUGGUGGUGGCGUGGUGGUAGUUGCAGUGGCAGCUGCAGUUAACUGGAACCAGCAAGACUUGAAAACUCGGAAAGUGGAAAUCUUCUCUGUUCUAUGGAGUUGCAGUUCCAAGAGGGAUCCAUGCACAAUACCUGGAAGUGGAGUCACCAUGUUGCUACUCUUAGGACCAGAUACAUGCUGUGGAAGUGGAGCUGGAAGCUCAAAGAAGCCUCACUGCUUUAUUUCCUUGAGCAACUGCACCCUUUCUGGAUUGCUUCUCUUCAAACAUCUUGUCAUAUGAAAUAAAUAAAAUCUCAUUUCAUCACA